GACGAACGCUGGCGGCGUGGAUUAGGGCAUGCAAGUCGGACGGUAGGGCUUUAUCGUAAGAUAGAGUUUGAGAGUGGGCGAACGGGUGAGUAACACGUAGGAAUCUACCCUUAAGACGGGGACAACACAGGGAAACUUGUGCUAAUACCGCAUAAGACCCCACCAUGGCAUCAUGGAGAGGUCAAAGGAGAAAUUCCGGUUUGAGAUGAGCCCGCGUCUGAUUAGCUAGUUGGUGAGGUAACGGCUCACCAAGGCGACGAUCAGUAGCCGAACUGAGAGGUUGAUCGGCCACAUUGGGACUGAGACACGGCCCAGGACUCCUACGGGAGGCAGCAGUGGGGAAUAUUGCACAAUGGGGGAAACCCUGAUGCAGCGACGCCGCGUGAAGGAAGAAGGCCCUCGGGUUGUAAACUUCUUUGACCAGGGACGAAGAAAGUGACGGUACCUGGAGAACAAGCCACGGCUAACUACGUG
rnacentral:rRNA from 1 species